rnacentral:rRNA from 1 species
GCAGAGACGCUAUAACUGGAUACGCUUUCAGGUUGUGAACAGAUUCUCCCUUGGAUCCAGACCUUUGAUUAUGGCUCAGGACGAACGCUGGCGGCGUGCUUAACACAUGCAAGUCGAACGAUGAAGUUAUGACGGAGGCUUCGGCCGACAGAAUAAUGGAAUAGUGGCGGACGGGUGAGUAACGCGUGAGUAACCUGCCUUUCAGAGAGGAAUAACAUUUGGAAACGAAUGGUAAUACCACAUAACAUUACGUUCUCGCAUGGGGAUGUAAUCAAAGAUUUUAUCGCUGAGAGAUGGACUCGCGUCCGAUUAGCUGGAUGGUGAGGUAACGGCCCACCAUGGCGACGACCGGUAGCCGGACUGAGAGGUUGAACGGCCACAUUGGGACUGAGACACGGCCCAGACUCCUACGGGAGGCAGCAGUGGGGAAUAUUGCACAAUGGGGGAAACCCUGAUGCAGCAACGCCGCGUGAAGGAAGACGGUCUUCGGAUUGUAAACUUUUGUUCUUGGUGAAGAAAAAUGACGGUAGCCAAGGAGGAAGCCACGGCUAACUACGUGCCAGCAGCCGCGGUAAUACGUAGGUGGCAAGCGUUGUCCGGAAUUACUGGGUGUAAAGGGAGCGCAGGCGGGAAAUCAAGUUGGAUGUGAAAUGUCGGGGCUUAACCCCGGAACUGCAUCCAAAACUGAUAUUCUUGAGUGAAGUAGAGGUAGGCGGAAUUCCGAGUGUAGCGGUGAAAUGCGUAGAUAUUCGGAGGAACACCAGUGGCGAAAGGCGGCCUACUGGGCUUUAAACUGACGCUGAGGCUCGAAAGUGUGGGGAGCAAACAGGAUUAGAUACCCUGGGUAGUCCACACUGUAAACGAUGAUUGGCUAGGUGGUGGGGGGGUCUUGGCCCCCU